GACAGAGGGUGCAAACGUUGCUCGGAAUUACUGGGCGUAAAACGCGUGUAGGCUGACUCGUGUGUCGGGCGUGAAAUCCCUGGGCUCAACCCAGGAACUGCACCCGAAACUGCGAGUCUAGAGUGGUGGAGAGGGUAGUGGAAUUCCGAGUGUAGAGGUGAAAUUCGUAGAUAUUCGGAAGAACACCAGUGGCGAAGGCGACUCACUGGACAUGUAUUGACGCUGAGGUGCGAAAGCGUGGGGAGCAAACAGG
rnacentral:rRNA from 1 species